rnacentral:rRNA from 1 species
UACAGAGGUCCCAAGCGUUGUUCGGAAUCACUGGGCGUAAAGGGUGCGUAGGCGGCGCGGAAAGUCAGGGGUGAAAUCCCGGAGCUCAACUCCGGAACUGCCUUUGAUACUCCCGCGCUUGAGAACUGGAGGGGAGACCGGAAUUCACGGUGGAGCAGUGAAAUGCGUGGAUAUCGUGAGGAACACUAGUGGCGAAGGCGCGUCUCUGGACAGUAUCUGACGCUGAGGCACGAAGGCCAGGGGAGCGAACGGG